rnacentral:rRNA from 1 species
UACGAAGGGGGCUAGCGUUGCUCGGAAUUACUGGGCGUAAAGGGCGCGUAGGCGGACAGUUUAGUCAGAGGUGAAAGCCCAGGGCUCAACCCUGGAAUUGCCUUUGAUACUGACUGUCUUGAGUACGGGAGAGGUGUGUGGAACUCCGAGUGUAGAGGUGAAAUUCGUAGAUAUUCGGAAGAACACCAGUGGCGAAGGCGGCUCACUGGUCCGGUACUGACGCUGAGGUGCGAAAGCGUGGGGAGCAAACAGG